GUUUCUAUGGUGUAACUGCACGUUAGAUUUUCGUUCUAAAGGGAUAAUAUCAAUUAUUAGAAAUA
rnacentral:tRNA from 1 species